GUAGGUGGCAAGCGUUGUCCGGAAUUAUUGGGCGUAAAGCGCGCGCAGGCGGUUCUUUAAGUCUGAUGUGAAAGCCCACGGCUCAACCGUGGAGGGUCAUUGGAAACUGGAGAACUUGAGUACAGAAGAGGAAAGCGGAAUUCCACGUGUAGCGGUGAAAUGCGUAGAGAUGUGGAGGAACACCAGUGGCGAAGGCGGCUUUCUGGUCUGUAACUGACGCUGAGGCGCGAAAGCGUGGGGAGCAAACAGGGAUUGGAUACCCUGGUAGUCCACGCCGUAAACGAUGAGUGCUAAGUGUUAGGGGGUUUCCGCCCCCGUUAGUGCUGCAGCUAACGCAUUAAGCACUCCGCCUGGGGAGUACGGCCGCAAGGCUG
rnacentral:rRNA from 1 species